ensembl:lncRNA
GAUUAUCCUCAGCUGUCCCUCAAAGGACUAUAAUGCACAUUUUAAAGUAGGACUUUGUACCAGAGUUCCCUGCAGCAUCAAAAGUGAUGCCACCAUGAUGUCAGCCAUCACAGCGAUUGCACAGCCAAAGUUUGCAAGAAAAACAGAGUGAUCCAUCCUAAGUCCCCACAGCCCCGAACUUCUGAGGAAAAACUUUCAAGUCAGCCAUGGAGCAGAAGACAAAUGAGUGUCCCACCAGCACCUCUCCUCAGAAACACAUGAAAAAUAGGUCUAAGUCCACAGAGGAGGUACAGCAGUCAAAGAAGGCCUUUUCCUCACAAAAAUCACUCCCAGGCAGACCAGAGCUGGAGAGAGUGAAGGAAUGUCCUGAUGGCUCUGAGACACCGUCAUCCUCCAGCGAAGAACUGAAAUGAUGAACAAAGCCAAAAAAAGAUGCCAUAAAGCUACAUCAUCAUAAACCUGAGACAUAAAAUGUGCAGAUGUACACAGCGGAACAUGCAGAAUAGUAUAUGAAAAAAAUGCAAGCCGUGAAUUGAUUAAAAGGAGAGAAUUGGACUAAAACACACACACACACACACACACACACACACACACACACACACACACACACACACACACACACACACACACACACACACAAAUUCACCCUACCGCUGAAACAACAUGUAUGUGAACAAAAGGACACCUGUGAUGAUAUUGUUUCAUUGUACUGUGAGUGGUGUAUACAUGCCACCUGAAUGUGUAGUAACAAUAAAGUGAUGUUGCUGAGUGAAUCUGUGUUUACUAACCUCCACUAAGCCAACUGCCAAAUAAUAAGGCUGUCGGAAACAAUACAGAUAGAUGAUGGUGUGCAGCAGAG